AGUAGCGUGGCUCAGUGGAAAGAGCACGGGCUUGGGAGUCAGAGGUCAUGGGUUCUAAUCCCGAUUCUGCUG
rnacentral:tRNA from 1 species